rnacentral:rRNA from 1 species
AUUGAACGCUGGCGGAAUGCUUUACACAUGCAAGUCGAGCGGCAGCGCGGUCUUCGGACUGGCGGCGAGCGGCGAACGGGUGAGUAAUACAUCGGAACAUGCCCAGUCGUGGGGGAUAACACUUCGAAAGAAGUGCUAAUACCGCAUACGUCCUGAGGGAGAAAGCGGGGGAUCGCAAGACCUCGCGCGAUUGGAGUGGCCGAUGUCAGAUUAGCUAGUUGGUGGGGUAAAGGCCUACCAAGGCAACGAUCUGUAGCUGGUCUGAGAGGAUGAUCAGCCACACUGGGACUGAGACACGGCCCAGACUCCUACGGGAGGCAGCAGUGGGGAAUGUUGGACAAUGGGGGCAACCCUGAUCCAGCCAUUCCGCGUGAGUGAAGAAGGCCUUCGGGUUGUAAAGCUCUUUCGGCAGGAACGAAACGGCGAGCUCUAACAUAGCUCGCUAAUGACGGUACCUGAAGAAGAAGCACCGGCUAACUACGUGCCAGCCGCCGCGGUAAAAC